rnacentral:sRNA from 1 species
GCAGGGCAAAGUGGUGCAUACCUGUAAUCCCAGUGACUAAGGAGGUUGAGGCAGGAGGAUCACUAGUUUGAGGACAGCCUCAGUGAUUUAGUGAGACUCUUAGGCUCUAAGCAACUUAGUGAGACCCUAUCUCAA